rnacentral:rRNA from 1 species
GCGUGAAGUCGGAAUCGCUAGUAAUCGCGGAUCAGCAUGCCGCGGUGAAUACGUUCCCGGGCCUUGUACACACCGCCCGUCACACCAUGAGAGUCGGGAACACCCGAAGUCCGUAGCCUAACCGCAAGGGGGCGCGGCCGAAGGUGGGUUCGAUAAUUGGGGUGAAGUCGUAACAAGGUAUC